GCGUGGAUGGCGGGUGGAGUCGAGGGCCCACUGAGACUGGGCCACUGGGUGCUGUUCGCCGCGGUGUCGGUGCCC
rnacentral:tRNA from 1 species